rnacentral:lncRNA from 1 species
GUCUAAAUAUUAUACUUCCAAAACACAAUUGAGGAUAAUAUCAACCUAAAUCUUCAGCAUGUUAUGAUUUGAUUUUUUUAUUCUUGCUUCUUUCAUGAACAAAAUAACCAAAUUGGAUGAGCAGUGUUAAUUGAGACAAAAAGAAGAAGAAUGACGGAGAGAGAGGAAAGGAGGACCUUGUGUGUUUUCAUUUUGUAGCCUUUUUUGGCGGAUACAACGGUGAGAGUGCGAAGCUUUGAAGGAAGAAGAAUUGAAGGUUUUUGAGGAAGAAGAAUUGAAGCAGAAAUGUUGGUUGACCAAUGGAGUUUGAGUGAGUUAGUGUUGAGAAGAGGGAAUCGAAGUGAAGAGUGAGAAGAAACACGAGUAGUGGAAGAAGAAGAAGAAGAAGAUGUUAAUGAGAG